UGAGCUGGUGAUGCCUUUCAGUGCUGGAGGAGGCUGUAGGUGACCUGUGAAUUGGCCUCUUCCGAAGAAACUUCCAGGAAUUGUUUGAACUUUUUCCUGCCUUGCUUGCUGACUUUGGAGUCCACCCCCGGUGUGAGAUGAGAAGGCUGCACCCAGCUGUCCUGAGCAAUGAAUCACCAGACCCGAGCUUCGGGAAGACCGACCUGGCAGGGAUGCAGAAAAGCACUCUGGAUUGAAAACAGCAGUUCAUUACUUAAGCCGAGUCGUUAGAUGAACCAGUUUUAAUCUCUACAUGGAGCAACUUGUUUUGUAAAUAAUUCAAACAUUUUAUCAUGGGUACAAUGACAAAAUGAAGAUUUAAAAAUAUGUACAUUGUUUGACAAUUAAAAAGAGAAAUUCAUACACAACAUUUGUUCAAUUUGUGAAACAUUCAAAAAU